GGCACUAGUUGUGGGAACCUUCCACGGUUUCUGCGACGCAGCUAACGCAUUAAGAGCCCCGCCUGGGGAGUACGAUCGCAAGAUUAAAACUCAAAGGAAUUGACGGGGCCCCGCACAAGCAGCGGAGCAUGCGGCUUAAUUCGACGCAUCGCGAAGAACCUUACCAAGGCUUGACAUAUAGGGAAAAGUGGCAGAGAUGUCAUGUCCGCAAGGGCUCUAUACAGGUGGUGCAUGGUUGUCGUCAGCUCGUGUCGUGAGAUGUUGGGUUAAGUCCCGCAACGAGCGCAACCCUCGUUCUGUGUUGCCAGCAUUUAGUUGGGGACUCACAGGAGACUGCCGGGGUUAACUCGGAGGAAGGUGGGGAUGACGUCAAAUCAUCAUGCCCCUUAUGUCUUGGGCUGCACGCAUGCUACAAUGGCCGGUACAGAGGGCUGCAAUACCGUAAGGUGGAGCGAAUCCCAAAAAGCCGGUCUCAGUUCGGAUUGAGGCCUGCAACUCGACCUCAUGAAGUUGGAGUUGCUAGUAAUCGUAGAUCAGCAUCGCUACGGUGAAUACGUUCCCGGGGCUUGUACACACCGCCCGUCACGUCACGAAAGUCGGUAACA
rnacentral:rRNA from 1 species